rnacentral:rRNA from 1 species
UACGGAGGGUGCAAGCGUUGUCCGGAAUCACUGGGCGUAAAGGGCGCGUAGGCGGCUCAUGAAGGCUGUGGUGAAAGUCCGGGGCCCAACCUCGGAUCGGCCGUGGCGACUCGUGGGCUGGAGCACUGUAGAGGCGGGUGGAAUUCCGGGUGUAGCGGUGGAAUGCGUAGAGAUCCGGAAGAACACCAGUGGCGAAGGCGGCCCGCUGGGCAGUGGCUGACGCUGAGGCGCGACAGCGUGGGGGAGCAAACAGG